AACGGGUGGAAAAGGAACGAGUUGAAAAUAUCCACACGCUCCACACCAAAAUCCACAAUGCCUAGCUGUCAAAAUCUGCUGAUACCACAUUUUAACAGCUGAUAGCAAACUGCAGUGUUGAUUUUAGAUAGAAUUAAAAGAAAAACACCGUUUUUCCUGCAAAAAAACAGAUUUUAGUGGAUUUUAUUGAACGCGGUAACAAUUCUGCACGGUCUCGAUCUGGGGAUUUAAUCGCCCUCUCGGACGUUUCUUCUAUAAAACAUCAAUCAGCUCUGUUUUGGGGCAGAAAAGCGGAGCGGUCAGAAGGUUUGUCUGCACUCAUGUCUCGGAGGCAAUCAGCGGCAGCUUUGACCGGUUUGACGGAAGUGGAGACGGCCCGUGCGCCAAACUGCCCGUGGUGAUUCAACGGAAAACAUUACCUGUGCAUGAGCACGCGGGACGUUCCUGUGGUACGGCCGGCGCUGGCGUUGGCUGGAAGCUGCUUGUGACGAUCGAAGGGUGAACAUUGACCAUGGUACGCAGGGGAGGAGGAAGUGUGACAAGAGAUAUCAAGGAAAUGAAGAGGAAUAUCGCGAAAAGGAAGCUGCGAGGUUGUGAAUAAAGUAAGAGGAAGAUUAAGCUUAAGAAAAAGUUGGAAACGCUUCGUUAGCAUUUUUUCUUCGAAUAAAAAUGUUUGAUUACAAGCACAA